rnacentral:misc_RNA from 1 species
GUGAAAAACGCGUUUGUCUUCGCUUCGGCAGGGCAUUCGCAACCCUCACAUCCAUAACACCUGUGAACCGUAAGAUGUGGUGAUUCGUUGCCCAUCUGACCUUUUUAUCAAACAACUAGUAGUAACAAAAGUAGUCUUAUUAUAACCUAAUA